rnacentral:rRNA from 1 species
CAGCCGCCGCGGUAAUACCGGCGGCCCGAGUGGCAGUCACUAUUAUUGGGCUUAAAGCGUCCGUAGCCGGGUUGGGAAGUCCUCCGGGAAAUCUGGCCGCUUGACGGUCAGAAUGCCGGAGGAUACUCCCAGCCUAGGGAGCGGGAGAGGCCGAGGGUAUUCCCGGAGUAGGGGUGAAAUCCUAUAAUCCCGGGAGGACCACCUGUGGCGAAGGCGCUCGGCUGGAACGCGUCCGACGGUGAGGGACGAAGGCCAGGGGAGCAAACCGGAUUAGAUACCCGGGUAGUCCUGGCUGUAAACGAUGCGGACUUUGUGUCGGACAAGCUAUGAGCUUGUCCGGUGCCGGAGGGAAACCGUUAAGUCCGCCGCCUGGGGAGUACGGCCGCAAGGCUGAAACUUAAAGGAAUUGGCGGG